rnacentral:rRNA from 1 species
AACGAACGCUGGCGGCAGGCUUAACACAUGCAAGUCGAACGCCCCGCAAGGGGAGUGGCAGACGGGUGAGUAACGCGUGGGAACAUACCCUUUCCUGCGGAAUAGCUCUGGGAAACUGGAAUUAAUACCGCAUACGCCCUACGGGGGAAAGAUUUAUCGGGGAAGGAUUGGCCCGCGUUGGAUUAGCUAGUUGGUGGGGUAAAGGCCUACCAAGGCGACGAUCCAUAGCUGGUCUGAGAGGAUGAUCAGCCACAUUGGGACUGAGACACGGCCCAAACUCCUACGGGGGGCGGCAGUGGGGAAUAUUGGACAAUGGGCGAAGGCCUGAUCCAGCCAUGCCGCUGAGGUGAUGAAGCCCUUAGGGUUGUAAGCUCUUUCACCGAUGAAGAUAAUGACGGUAGUCGGAGAAGAAGCCCCGGCUAACUUCGUGCCAGCAGCCGCAGUAACAC